rnacentral:lncRNA from 1 species
AGAACGGCUUCUUCUUAAGUCCCGCCCCUCUCCGCGCGCUCUGGACCAAUCGGACGACCGUUCCUCUGCCCCCGCCACGCCCCCUCCCCACCGGCCCCAACUAGGGGAGGGAGGAAGAAUCCUCCUGGUUGCCUAGCGACGGCGCUCCGCCCCGGGACACAUGCGCAGUUUGGUUCUGGCUACGGGUGGUCUGCGGCGGGAGCCGGGGGACUUGGCUGAGUUGGGUCUUGUCGGGGUCCGGAGGUGAAGCCAGCUUGGGACGCCGAGGGGCAGUGCUGUGGGAGCUCGGACCCACCGCCGCCCCCUCCACUCUGCCGGGAUCCAGGCAGGAAAAACAUCUAAUCUGAAGGCAUGGAGAUCAAGCUGAUUCCAGUCAUUGACUCCUACACCCAUCUGAAGUCAUGGCAUUACUUGAUUUAUGGGUGUUCUUCCUACACACUGAUGUCAUGAGCAGAAUCUAAUACCAGUGAAGUGAAUGUGAGUUCGCAUUGAUACUAGUUCCAAGAAAAGUGGAGCCAAAAAGGAAGAAAGGAAAGAAGAAGGAAAAAAUUGAAUGGAUUACAUAGAAAGAGAAGGUGAAAUUCAAAUUCAGUCCUUUACAUAAAUGCUUAAGAAUAUGAUAGAUCAAAUAAAAUAACAUUUAUCAAGUGCUUUACA